rnacentral:rRNA from 1 species
GGGAUAACUACUGGAAACGGUAGCUAAUACCGCAUAACGUCGCAAGACCAAAGAGGGGGACCUUCGGGCCUCUUGCCAUCGGAUGUGCCCAGAUGGGAUUAGCUAGUAGGUGGGGUAACGGCUCACCUAGGCGACGAUCCCUAGCUGGUCUGAGAGGAUGACCAGCCACACUGGAACUGAGACACGGUCCAGACUCCUACGGGAGGCAGCAGUGGGGAAUAUUGCACAAUGGGCGCAAGCCUGAUGCAGCCAUGCCGCGUGUAUGAAGAAGGCCUUCGGGUUGUAAAGUACUUUCAGCGGGGAGGAAGGGAGUAAAGUUAAUACCUUUGCUCAUUGACGUUACCCGCAGAAGAAGCACCGGCUAACUCCGUGCCAGCAGCCGCGGUAAUACGGAGGGUGCAAGCGUUAAUCGGAAUUACUGGGCGUAAAGCGCACGCAGGCGGUUUGUUAAGUCAGAUGUGAAAUCCCCGGGCUCAACCUGGGAACUGCAUCUGAUACUGGCAAGCUUGAGUCUCGUAGAGGGGGGUAGAAUUCCAGGUGUAGCGGUGAAAUGCGUAGAGAUCUGGAGGAAUACCGGUGGCGAAGGCGGCCCCCUGGACGAAGACUGACGCUCAGGUGCGAAAGCGUGGGGAGCAAACAGGAUUAGAUACCCU